rnacentral:rRNA from 1 species
UACGUAGGUGGCAAGCGUUGUCCGGAAUUACUGGGCGUAAAGAGCUCGUAGGUGGUUUGUCGCGUUGUUCGUGAAAACUCACAGCUCAACUGUGGGCGUGCGGGCGAUACGGGCAGACUUGAGUACUGCAGGGGAGACUGGAAUUCCUGGUGUAGCGGUGGAGUGCGCAGAUAUCAGGAGGAACACCGGUGGCGAAGGCGGGUCUCUGGGCAGUAACUGACGCUGGAGGAGCGGAAAGCGUGGGGAGCGAACAGG